rnacentral:lncRNA from 14 species
GUUUAGGGAGAUCUUGUGCUCCAGUGCUGUGGAAAGGAACAGCCCUUGCUUUCCAUUCCAACUGCUUUUGUUUGAAUAGGUAAGUAUGGAUGUGAAUUCCUGCCUCCUGAAAAGGCUGGAAGAGCCUGUUCCAGGUGACAGGGAUACAAACUGAAAGGGCUUCUAUGGAUUUAAUGGAAAAGGCAUAUUUUAACAGAGCUCUUUUUGUUCCAGAAGACUGACUUGGCCUAUGAGGAAAUGGAUGGGAAGUGGUACAGGCAAGAGGCGUGGAUGAGCUGCACAGCAUCUCACAGUUCCUGGCCAGCAGCCUAGCCACGGGGCCUGUUUCUGGUUCACAGCUUUCCAUGGAAUGAGGCUAUUCUUCUCACUCAGAGUUACGCUUGGAGCAGGGAAGGAGAAGAGGACUGCAAGGCCAGAUAGGAUUGUUUAGGUUGGACAAAGAUGCUUAGCCAUUCCAGGGCUGUGUAGCUUGGUGUAGCAGAGUGAACUCUUCUUGAAAGACAGAGGUAAGAGAAGAGGCCAUCAGCAACUCACCUGAACCACUCCCAAAGCCACAGGUGGCUGCAGAACCCAGAGAGAAGCCAAGCCAAAUGAGAAGAGGCUUUUGGACCAUGUAAGGACUGUACUGCAGCACGUUGUGCAGUGGAGGAAGGGCUGGUGUGAGGUGAGAGCCAGAACUGCAC